rnacentral:rRNA from 1 species
CGGCGGACGGGUGAGUAAUGCUUGGGAAUCUACCUAGUAGUGGGGGAUAACGUGUGGAAACGCACGCUAAUACCGCAUACGUCCUACGGGAGAAAGCAGGGGAUCUUCGGACCUUGCGCUAUUGGAUGAGCCCAAGUCGGAUUAGCUAGUUGGUGAGGUAAUGGCUCACAAAGGCGACGAUCCGUAGCCGGUCUGAGAGGAUGACCAGCCACAUCGGGACUGAGACACGGCCCGA